rnacentral:rRNA from 1 species
UACAGAGGGUGCGAGCGUUAUUCGGAAUUACUGGGCGUAAAGCGCGCGUAGACGGCUAGCUAAGUCGGGUGUGAAAGCCCCGGGCUCAACCUGGGAAUUGCAUUCGAGACUGAAUAGCUAGGGUGCGGUAGAGGGAAGCGGAAUUUCCGGUGUAGCGGUGAAAUGCGUAGAUAUCGGAAGGAACAUCAGUGGCGAAAGCGGCUUCCUGGGCCGGCACCGACGUUCAGGCACGAAAGCGUGGGGAGCAAACAGG